UGCUGGAGGUAUCAGAAGUGCGAAUGCUGACAUAAGUAACGAUAAAGCGGGUGAAAAGCCCGCUCGCCGGAAGACCAAGGGUUCCUGUCCAACGUUAAUCGGGGCAGGGUGAGUCGACCCCUAAGGCGAGGCCGAAAGGCGUAGUCGAUGGGAAACGGGUUAAUAUUCCCGUACUUGGUGUUACUGCGAAGGGGGGACGGAGAAGGCUAUGUUGGCCGGGCGACGGUUGUCCCGGUUUAAGCGUGUAGGUGUGUGUUCCAGGUAAAUCCGGUUCACUUUAACACUGAGGCGUGACGACGAGGCACUACGGUGCUGAAGCAACAAAUGCCCUGCUUCCAGGAAAAGCCUCUAAGCAUCAGGUAACAUCAAAUCGUACCCCAAACCGACACAGGUGGUCAGGUAGAGAAUACCAAGGCGCUUGAGAGAACUCGGGUGAAGGAACUAGGCAAAAUGGUGCCGUAACUUCGGGAGAAGGCACGCUGACAUGUAGGUGAAGUGAUUUACUCAUGGAGCUGAAGUCAGUCGAAGAUACCAGCUGGCUGCAACUGUUUAUUAAAAACACAGCACUGUGCAAACACGAAAGUGGACGUAUACGGUGUGACGCCUGCCCGGUGCCGGAAGGUUAAUUGAUGGGGUCAGCGCAAGCGAAGCUCCUGAUCGAAGCCCCGGUAAACGGCGGCCGUAACUAUAACGGUCCUAAGGUAGCGAAAUUCCUUGUCGGGUAAGUUCCGACCUGCACGAAUGGCGUAAUGAUGGCCAGGCUGUCUCCACCCGAGACUCAGUGAAAUUGAACUCGCUGUGAAGAUGCAGUGUACCCGCGGCAAGACGGAAAGACCCCGUGAACCUUUACUAUAGCUUGACACUGAACAUUGAGCCUUGAUGUGUAGGAUAGGUGGGAGGCUUUGAAG
rnacentral:rRNA from 3 species